rnacentral:misc_RNA from 1 species
AAGUCGUAACAAGGUUUCCGUAGGUGAACCUGCGGAAGGAUCAUUAGUGAAUUUUAGGGCGUCUUGUUUACAAGAGCCUGACCUCCACUCUCCAACGCUGUGCAUCAUUUUGGCGGCGUUUAGUUCAAUCUAAACCUGCCUUUCCCUUUUAAACACAAGUCAAAGAAUGUAACAAAACCAUAAACAAAAAAAAG